rnacentral:rRNA from 1 species
GGUUAAGUUAGAAAGGGCGCACGGUGGAUGCCUUGGCACUAGGAGCCGAUGAAGGACGGGACGAACACCGAUAUGCUUCGGGGAGCUGUAAGCAAGCUUUGAUCCGGAGAUUUCCGAAUGGGGAAACCCACCACUCGUAAUGGAGUGGUAUCCAUAUCUGAAUACAUAGGAUAUGAGAAGGCAGACCCGGGGAACUGAAACAUCUAAGUACCCGGAGGAAGAGAAAGCAAAUGCGAUUCCCUGAGUAGCGGCGAGCGAAACGGGAUCAGCCCAAACCAAGAGGCUUGCCUCUUGGGGUUGUAGGACACUCUGUACGGAGUUACAAAGGAACGAGGUAGAUGAAGAGGUCUGGAAAGGCCCGCCAUAGGAGGUAACAGCCCUGUAGUCAAAACUUCGUUCUCUCCUGAGUGGAUCCUGAGUACGGCGGAACACGUGAAAUUCCGUCGGAAUCCGGGAGGACCAUCUCCCAAGGCUAAAUACUCCCUAGUGACCGAUAGUGAACCAGUACCGUGAGGGAAAGGUGAAAAGCACCCCGGAAGGGGAGUGAAAGAGAUCCUGAAACCGUGUGCCUACAAGUAGUCAGAGCCCGUUAACGGGUGAUGGCGUGCCUUUUGUAGAAUGAACCGGCGAGUUACGAUCCCGUGCAAGGUUAAGCAGAAGAUGCGGAGCCGCAGCGAAAGCGAGUCUGAAUAGGGCGAAUUGAGUACGUGGUCGUAGACCCGAAACCAGGUGAUCUACCCAUGUCCAGGGUGAAGUUCAGGUAACACUGAAUGGAGGCCCGAACCCACGCACGUUGAAAAGUGCGGGGAUGAGGUGUGGGUAGGGGUGAAAUGCCAAUCGAACCUGGAGAUAGCUGGUUCUCUCCGAAAUAGCUUUAGGGCUAGCCUCAAGGUAAGAGUCUCGGAGGUAGAGCACUGAUUGGACUAGGGGCCCCUACCGGGUUACCGAAUUCAGUCAAACUCCGAAUGCCGAUGACUUAUCCUUGGGAGUCAGACUGCGAGUGAUAAGAUCCGUAGUCGAAAGGGAAACAGCCCAGACCGCCAGCUAAGGUCCCAAAGUAUACGUUAAGUGGAAAAGGAUGUGGAGUUGCUUAGACAACCAGGAUGUUGGCUUAGAAGCAGCCACCAUUUAAAGAGUGCGUAAUAGCUCACUGGUCGAGUGACUCUGCGCCGAAAAUGUACCGGGGCUAAACGUAUCACCGAAGCUGCGGACUGUUCUUCGAACAGUGGUAGGAGAGCGUUCUAAGGGCUGUGAAGCAAGACCGGAAGGACUUGUGGAGCGCUUAGAAGUGAGAAUGCCGGUAUGAGUAGCGAAAGAGGGGUGAGAAUCCCCUCCACCGAAUGCCUAAGGUUUCCUGAGGAAGGCUCGUCCGCUCAGGGUUAGUCGGGACCUAAGCCGAGGCCGAAAGGCGUAGGCGAUGGAUAACAGGUUGAUAUUCCUGUACCACCUCCUCACCAUUUGAGCAAUGGGGGGGACGCAGGAGGAUAGGGUAAGCGCGGUAUUGGAUAUCCGCGUCCAAGCAGUUAGGCUGGGAAAUAGGCAAAUCCGUUUCCCGUGAAGGCUGAGCUGUGAUGGCGAGCGAAUUAUAGUAGCGAAGUUCCUGAUUCCACACUGCCAAGAAAAGCCUCUAGCGAGGUGAGAGGUGCCCGUACCGCAAACCGACACAGGUAGGCGAGGAGAGAAUCCUAAGGUGAUCGAGAGAACUCUCGUUAAGGAACUCGGCAAAAUGACCCCGUAACUUCGGGAGAAGGGGUGCUCUGUUAGGGUGCAAGCCCGAGAGAGCCGCAGUGAAUAGGCCCAGGCGACUGUUUAGCAAAAACACAGGUCUCUGCGAAGCCGUAAGGCGAAGUAUAGGGGCUGACGCCUGCCCGGUGCUGGAAGGUUAAGAGGAGCGCUUAGCGUAAGCGAAGGUGCGAAUUGAAGCCCCAGUAAACGGCGGCCGUAACUAUAACGGUCCUAAGGUAGCGAAAUUCCUUGUCGGGUAAGUUCCGACCCGCACGAAAGGCGCAACGAUCUGGGCACUGUCUCAACGAGAGACUCGGUGAAAUUAUAGUACCUGUGAAGAUGCAGGUUACCCGCGACAGGACGGAAAGACCCCGUGGAGCUUUACUGCAGCCUGAUAUUGAAUGUUGGUACAGCUUGUACAGGAUAGGUAGGAGCCUUGGAAACCGGAGCGCCAGCUUCGGUGGAGGCAUCGGUGGGAUACUACCCUGGCUGUAUUGACCUUCUAACCCGCCGCCCUUAUCGGGCGGGGAGACAGUGUCAGGUGGGCAGUUUGACUGGGGCGGUCGCCUCCUAAAAGGUAACGGAGGCGCCCAAAGGUUCCCUCAGAAUGGUUGGAAAUCAUUCGCAGAGUGUAAAGGCACAAGGGAGCUUGACUGCGAGACCUACAAGUCGAGCAGGGACGAAAGUCGGGCUUAGUGAUCCGGUGGUUCCGCAUGGAAGGGCCAUCGCUCAACGGAUAAAAGCUACCCCGGGGAUAACAGGCUUAUCUCCCCCAAGAGUCCACAUCGACGGGGAGGUUUGGCACCUCGAUGUCGGCUCAUCGCAUCCUGGGGCUGUAGUCGGUCCCAAGGGUUGGGCUGUUCGCCCAUUAAAGCGGUACGCGAGCUGGGUUCAGAACGUCGUGAGACAGUUCGGUCCCUAUCCGUCGCGGGCGCAGGAAAUUUGAGAGGAGCUGUCCUUAGUACGAGAGGACCGGGAUGGACGCACCGCUGGUGUACCAGUUGUUCUGCCAAGGGCAUCGCUGGGUAGCUAUGUGCGGACGGGAUAAGUGCUGAAAGCAUCUAAGCAUGAAGCCCCCCUCAAGAUGAGAUUUCCCAUUCCGCAAGGAAGUAAGAUCCCUGAAAGAUGAUCAGGUUGAUAGGUCUGAGGUGGAAGUGUGGCGACACAUGGAGCUGACAGAUACUAAUCGAUCGAGGACUUAACCUA